rnacentral:lncRNA from 1 species
AGAUGUAACCCGAAGAACACCCGAUUACUUCCUAUGAUGCAAGUGGGCAAAUCUAUUGAUUUCUGUGCAGAAGGUCCUGUUAACUGCUUCAUAUGUUGUGAGCCUCUUACGAGCUUAUAGUUCUUCUGCUACAAUGGUGUGAGCGAAUGGUAUGGAAUGAAGCAUGUAAAUCAGGCAUGUGAUACUUCUUUCUUUCCAUUGUUGAAACCUCAUUAAGAUGCUGUGAAGAGAUGGUGAAACCAGUGACAGUUAGGGUGCAUGCAUCAUUUUUCCGCGAACAUUGUUCAACUCUUUUUUCCCUUUGAUCCUAUAUUCUUUUUUUUCUUUCUGUUAGUAGUAGAAAGGACAAUGAUCUGCUUACUCGAUACAUUUUGUCCCUUUACAAGGACAAUCACUAUCGUCUAAGCUCCGUAGAGGUAAACGAUAAUCAUUUUUACACCUUUCAAUGAGUGUUCGUGUAAUUUUCUAUUAGGUCAAGACUCUAUUUUGAUUUCUUAAAGGGGUUUUAUUCAAGUCUGACGGAUAUUUUUAGCUCAAAUUUUAUAGUUGAGUUUAAAACUCAAAUGUAUUUCGCGGC